UACGGGAGGGUGCGAGCGUUGUCCGGAAUCACUGGGCGUAAAGGGCGCGUAGGUGGCGCGGAAAGUCAACGGUGAAAGCUUGGGGCUCAACCCCGAGUCGGCCGUCGAUACUUCUGGGCUUGAGCACUGUAGAGGCAGUGGAAUUCCGGGUGUAGAGGUGAAAUUCGUAGAUAUUCGGAGGAACACCAGAAGCGAAGGCGCCAACUGGCCCGAUACUGACGCUGAGGCGGCGAAAAGCGUGGGGAGCAAACAGGG
rnacentral:rRNA from 1 species